GUGGCAACCGAUACGCUUCUCCAGUUGUCACAUAGCAUUGCAGGCAUGAGUCCAGAGCGAAGCAAAGUCUCUCCCAUCUCUUCCAAAUUCAUCUUCCAAUGUGCUGCUCAGGAAUGCUUGCUGUUUAUUCUGCCCUCUCCUGAGGGAACAAGUUCACAUCCACAUCUUCACUUUGAUUAUCAUUUCUGAAAAGGACAGUCCAACAUCUUUGGAAGAUAAUUCUGAAGGAGUACUGGAGUAACUGGAGAAAUAGCAGGAGGAGAUGUGAGAAUGGGCCAUGACAGAUUCAGAGACUAUGGCGAAGAUGUUUGAGAUUCUUAAAUCCUCCUUUCAAGAAAGCUACAUACAUCUUUGAAAAAAGAACAUAUUUUAAUGCCUUGUCCCGCCCUGCUAACUCUUUAAUAAAGUUUACUAAGACAUUAUCUCAAAUAAUGACAAGGCUUUACUCUACCUUUCAAGUUACAAUAAAGGUGGUAUUGAUUUAAUAUUUUUUUAUUUUUAACAAACA